UACUGUUUAAGUGGUAAGCUGUUAGUUUGCGCAAACUUUUUGACAGCUGUACGCACGUGUGUCACAAAUAUCAUGUAUCGUCAAAUUAUAAAUGUAAAAUACUUUAUAAUAUUAAAUAAAAAUGACAUAAGUGAAAACAUAAAGUGCGAAUAACAAAAUAAAUGAGACGAGUGAGAACAUAAAGUCAAUAAGUUUUUCAGUGUUUUGGCGUGCUUCAGUAAAUUAUCGGUCAUGGUUGUGACUUGGUUCUUUGCAUUGGCAUAAAUUUUCCACUAUUGCAAUAAAGAAAUACAUAUCAGCUUCCCAGCUAUCCAAGUUCUUGCAGAAUAUUAAUAGUUGGAAGCCACUUUCCUGUGAAGUAAGAUUACCAAAGUCUCAGGUUAUUGUGUCCUUGAAUGCGUCCCAGUGAGCAAAAGUUGAAUCACAUCCUAACGUCAAAUAUUAGAGUAAGAUGUGUUACUAGCAGUGUAAUGACAGAUUAAUGCAUCAAACUAAGAAUAAGUUCGUAACAUUGAUGUUUACUGUCAUAUCAUCAAUUCUUUUGACAGCUGUACUCGAAAUUUUUUAUCAUUUUAUCAUGUAGCGUACUGACUGAUAUAUUCUUCUUAUCUUUUAGGAAACAGUAUAUAUUUUUU